rnacentral:hammerhead_ribozyme from 1 species
GAACUGCUGAGGAGUCCUACAAUAGGACGAAAUGGGUGUCCAGUGC